rnacentral:tRNA from 1 species
GUCCCUUUCGUCUAGAGGCUAGGACAAUGCUUUUUCGUAGCAUAAACACGGGUUCGAUUCCCGUAAGGGAUG